rnacentral:rRNA from 1 species
GCUUGUCUCAAAGAUUAAGCCAUGCAUGUCUUAGUGUAAAUAACUCUUAUGAAACUGCGAAUGGCUCAUUAAAUCAGUUAUCAAAUACGUGAUGGUCGCCUACUACAUGGAUAACCGUAGUAAUUCUAGAGCUAAUACAUGCUAAAAACCCCAACUUCGGGAGGGGUGUGUUUAUUAGAUAAAAAACCAACGCCCUUCGGGGCUCCUUGGUGAUUCAUGAUAACUUCUCAGAUCGCACGGCCUUGCGCCGGCGACGGUUCAUUCAAAUUUCUGCCCUAUCAACUUUCGAUGGUAAGGUAUUGGCUUACCAUGGUUUCAACGGGUAACGGGGAAUUAGGGUUCGAUUCCGGAGAGCGAGCCUGAGAGACGGCUAGCACAUCCAAGGAAGGCAGCAGG